rnacentral:rRNA from 1 species
UCGAACGCGAAAGUCCCGCAAGGGAUGAUUAGAGUGGCAAACGGGUGAGUAACACGUGGGUGACCUGCCUUCGAGUGGGGGAUAACGCUCCGAAAGGGACGCUAAUACCGCAUAACAUCCUGCCUUUUAAGAGGUGGAGAUCAAAGCCUGGGACCGCAAGGCCAGGCGCUUGACGAGGGGCCCGCGUCUGAUUAGCUAGUUGGUGGGGUAAUGGCUCACCAAGGCAACGAUCAGUAUCCGGCCUGAGAGGGCGGACGGACACACUGGGACUGAGACACGGCCCAGACUCCUACGGGAGGCAGCAGUGGGGAAUUGUUCGCAAUGGGCGCAAGCCUGACGACGCAACGCCGCGUGGAGGAUGAAGACCUUCGGGUCGUAAACUCCUUUCGAUCGAGACGAAUGGCCUCCGGGUGAACAAUCCGGAGGAGUGACGGUACCGAGAGAAGAAGCCCCGGCUAACUCCGUGCCAGCAGCCGCGGUAAUACGGGGGGGGCAAGCGUUGUUCGGAAUUACUGGGCGUAAAGGGCUCGUAGGUGGCCAACUAAGUCAGACGUGAAAUCCCUCGGCUUAACCGGGGAACUGCGUCUGAUACUGGAUGGCUUGAGUUUGGGAGAGGGACGCGGAAUUCCAGGUGUAGCGGUGAAAUGCGUAAAUAUCUGGAGGAACACCGGUG